GCUCCUCCCUGAUGAUCUGGCCUGCACUGCAUGGUGUAGGGCACAGGGCUGACUCAGCCCUUGGGAUGUGGGGGCCUGUGUCACUCUUCCCCUCCCCACUCCAGUUGGGUUGUCAGACUCUGGCACCCCAACACCCAGGUGUGCCUCCUGAGGUAGGAUCCGGGGAGGAAAGGGGUUGCUCAGGGAGGCUGGGUGGGCUCACUCCAUCCUGGAGGAAGGGCAGGGGCUCCUAGGAAGAGUUGAGGCUAGCAACAGGGUGAGCUGGCUGUGGCCAGUCUGUACCUGGAGGGGGUGGGGAGGGGUACAGAGGAGUCAGGCUGAAGUUCAGAGGUCAAGAACUGGGCUGAGAGAGGUAGUUCACCACUGAGGUUCUGGGUGUGCCAGUGGUGACCAGAGCAGUGUUGGGAGUGUCAGCUUCCAUGCCCUCUGGACCUGCCAGGUAAGCAGGGCCUGUGGAGGGCAUCCAGUGACCUCUGAGACCCAGGCACCCUUCCCUGCCCUUGCCAGUGGACGGGCAUGCCUUCCUGAAUCCCACUGUCAGGUCCACUGACGUUCACCUGCCUCAACAGACACACCACAGCUGAGCGUGUGCUGCCACCUCUCCACAGGGUACACCUGCAGGUGCAUGAAGGGUGCCGGGGCACAGAGCACCCCAGCCCUUGGGGUUCCAGAACCCUAGACAGAUCGUGGUUCAUCUCACAGGCUACAGACAGGAACCCGCCCAGCCAGCCUGUGUCAGACCCCCUUGUCACCCAGUCCAAGCCAGCCCUGCUCCUGAAGCAGUCUCACCCCUUCUCUUCCCUUCUCCUGAAGCUGCAGGGAUUCCCCAGCUUGCCCAAAGUGAAAGAGAAAGUCCCCCCCAGCCAGGCCCCGCCCCAGCCUGUGGCCAAUCCCUAGGUCCCUUCCCUCCUCCCUUGGCUGGCAGCUCCUUAUCUCCUCCCAGAGGCAGCUUGCUGGAGCCGUGGAGGAGCUCUCUGUGCACCUCAGGGGCAGAAGUGGUGGCCAUUGCCUUGAAGCCCCUGAACUGGAGGAUCACCCCUGCACUUGGUCCUACCCUCCAUCGCAGCUGCCGCCCCCCUUCUCCUGUCACCACCUCCACCUCCUGGCGUCCACCUCUCCUGCUCCUGCCCGGGU
rnacentral:lncRNA from 1 species